rnacentral:lncRNA from 1 species
UGGGAAUUAAUCCACCUUGGCCCCAUGUAUGCUCCCAGCCUAACCACGCAGGGGUCCAAAAGGGCCUCGGGUGGGACACAGAUCUGCUGGGACUGGGAGAGAGGCUGGUUCCUGGGGCCAGUGGCCAGCACCCCACAGAGCAGGGUGCAGUGUUUCAGAACAAGGCCCAGCCCUCCAGGGAUCCUCCCAGAACCUGAGCUCAGUGAUGCUCAAGGUACCAGCGAUUCAACAAAUGCCAUGAUCCUCCGCUGUCCGCCUCGCGCCUAAGGGCUGGAAUCACCAUAAGAAACCCCCUGUGGGCAAGGGCUCUGCCCAGGCUUCCCUCUUGUGCCUCCCCUGCCCCCUGCGGGGGAGACCACUCUAAAGGGGUCCUGGCCCCAAUUUUAUCGUGUGUGGAGGCUUCCCCACCCCAACAAACAAGUCUCAGAUGCCAGUAAGGUGUCCAAGACUUCAACUCGGUUCUGACACUGUCUCCCUGGAGAUAGAAUCAGAUGCCACAGGUGAGGGCUCAGUCCCACACGAUGCCCCCUCUUCAGAGGCCAGUGAGAAGCCCAGGUUGUCGCCUGUACUUCUGACUGACUGGCUAUAAAUCAGAGUUCCCACUACCUCCUCCCGAGUUUGAUGAAUCUGCAAGAACAGCUCACAGACUCAGGAAAACCCAUUUGCUCACUAGCUUACUGAUUUAUUUUAGAAGGGUGCAAAAGGGUAGGAUCCAUAGCCCGAGGGAGAGGUGUGUAGCGGCGGGUCAGGGGAGGGGCGAGGAGCUUCCGGGCUCUCCCUGGGCUCCACUCUUCCCAAACCUCCACCAGUUCACCAGCCCGGGAGCUGUCCAGACCUGGUCCUUUAGGGUUUUUAUGGAGGCUUCAUUGCAGAAGUGCGCUUGAUUGAAUCGCGGGCUGUUGGCAUUUGAAGGUCGGGGAAUGUGUCGGAAAGUUCCAACCCUCUAAUCAUAUAGUUCUCCUGGCUAUCCACCCCCAUCCUUAGGUGCUUCCAAAAAUCACCUCAUUCAGGUAACGAAAGACACCUACGUCAUUUCCACCACUUAGAACAUUCCAAAGCCAGGGAUUGUGGAUGAAAACCAAAUAUAUAUGAGAAAUAGGUUUGGUCACCUGAAUGACAAAACAUGUAUUUCUUAUGAACCACACAGUAUUGCAGCACUAAUUUAUAGUAAAUGGCAGGAGUUCCCAUUGCGGCUCAGUGGGUAGUAAACUUGACUGGUAUCCAUGAGAAUGCAGGUUCGAUCCCUGGCCUCCCUCAGUGGGUUAAGGAUCCGGCGUUGCCAUGAGCUGUGGUAUAGGUUGCAGACAUGGCUCAAAUCCUGUGUUGCUGUGGCUGUGGUGUAGGCCAGCAGCUGUUGGUCCAGUUCGCCCCCUAGCCUGGGAACCCCCAUAUGCCUCGCGUGCAGCCCUAAGAAAAAAAGACAAAAAUAAAAUAAAAUAAAAUAAAUGGCACACGCCAAAAUCUCUCUUUCCUAGGCUCUCCUAGGCUGGGAACUGGUAGUCAAUAGUAAAACACAUGGCAAAAUGCAAAACAUGUACCACAGAUGAACCCCAAUUUAUGAUGGUUUAACUUAGAAUUUUUUGAUGUUAGGAGGAUGUAAAAGUAACAUGCAUUCAGUAGAAACCAUACUUUGAAUUUUGAAUUUUUCUAGGUUGGCGAUAUUCUUUUCAGUCCAAUCCUCUCUCGUGAUGCUGGGUGGUGGCAGCCACAGCUCCUGGUCAGUCACGUGAUCACAAGGGUCAACAACUGAUACGCUUACAGCCACUGUGCGCCCCAACCAUUCAGUUUUUCACGGGCAGUACAGUAUUCAGUAAAUUACAUGAGAUACUUAACACUUUUUUAAAAAGGAGUUCCUGCUGUAGCUCAACGGGUUAAGAACCUGACAUAGUGUCCAUGAGGACGCAGGUUUGAUCCCUGGCCUCACUCAGUGGGUUAAGGAUUCAGUGUUGCCGAAAGCCUCGGAGUAGGUCAUAGAUGCACCUCGGAUCUGGUAUGGCUGUGGCAUAGGCCUGCAGCUGCAUCUCCAAUUCAACCGCUAGCCUGGGAACUUCCAUGUGCCACAGGCGUGGCCCUAAAAAGAAAAGAAAAUCGACUUUGUGUUAGGUGAUCUGCCCAGCUGUAGGCUAGUGUAAGUGUUCCAAGCGUGUUUAAGGUAGGUGUGGCUAAGCCGUGAUGUUUGGUAGCUUAGGUGUAUCAGUGCAUUUCAACUUAGGCUAUCUUCAAUGGGUUUAUCAUAAGCCAGGGAAGAUUGGUGUGUGUGUGUGUGUGUCUGUACACAUAUACAUAUACACAGAGGCCCAUAUAUUAAAUAUUUUAGGUUAAAACAUGUCAAUGUGAUUAAUCACUAAUCUUCUGGUGUUAAUGUUACCAAGGCCUUUUUUAAAAAUUGCUGAUAAUAUAAUAUAUUAUAAUAUGAUAUAAUGUAAUAAUCAAUAUGAUUAGAAAUUUCUCUUUCAUUGUCCGUACCCAUAUUGCAUCAUUUACGAAUUCCAGUUUAGGUUUUUUAAAGUUAGCCCCAGAACUCAGCAAAGCAAUCAGAUUGUGUGUUGUCUUGAAUUUUAACAUUUUUCCAAACAUCCUAUAAAUGUUACACUCACAUCUAUUUUGACAGCAGGUUUGAAGUCAUCUUUUUUUUUUUUACUUUGUUAUUAUAGUUGAUUUACAAUGUUCUGUCAACUUCUGCUGUACAGCAAAGUGCCCCAGUUAUACAUAUAUAUACAUUCUUUUUCUCACAUUAUCUUUAUCAUGUUCCAUCACAAGCGAUUAGAUAUAGGUCCCUGUGCUAUACAGCAGGAUCUCAUUGUUUAUCCACUCCAAAUGCAAUAGUUUGCAUCUACUAACCCCAAACUCCCAGUCCAUCCCACUCCCUCCCCCUCCCCCUUGGUAACCACAAGUCUGUUCUCCAAGUCCAUGAGUUUGUUUCUUUUCUGUAGACAGGUUCAUUUGUGCCGUAUAUUAGAUUCUAGAUAAAAGUGAUAUCAUGUGGCAUUUGUCCUUCUCUUUCUGACUUACUUCACUUCAUAUGAGAGUCUCUAGUUCCAUCCAUGUUGCUGGAAGUGGCAUUAUUUUGUUCUUUUUAUGGCUGAGUAGUAUGCCAUUGUGUACAUGUACCACAUUUUCUAAUCCAUUCAUCUGUCAGUGGACAUUUAGGUUGUUUCCAUGCCUUGGCUCUUGUGGAUAGUGCUGCAGUGAACACUUGGUGAAUGUGUCUUUUUCAAUUAAAGUUUUGUCUGGAUAUAUGCACAGGAAUGGCAUUGCUGGAUCAUAUGGAACCAUACAAAUAUUUUCUUAGGUCAGUCUCCAAAAGCAGUAGAAAUAAAAACAAAAAGAAACCAAUGGAACCUAAUCAAAUUUAAAAGCUUUUGCACAGCAAAGGAAACCAUUAAAAAAACAAAACAAAACAAAAACAAAAAAACCACCUAUGGAAUGGGAGAAAAUAGUUUCAAACAAUGCAACCAACAAGGGCUUCAUAUCCAAAAUAUACAAACACCUCAUACAACUCAACAGCAAAAAAAAACAAACAACCCAAUUGAAAAAUGGGCAGAAGACCUGAACAGGCAUUUCUCCAAAGAAGACUUACGGAGGCCCACAGGGACGUGGAGAAAUGGUCGCCCUCCCUAGUUGUUAGAGAAAUGCACCUCAAACCACAGACACCAGUCAGAACGGCCAUGGUUAAUAAGUCCACAAAUGACAAAUGCUGGAGCGGGCGUGGAGGACCGGGAACCCUCCUGCACUGUCGGUGGGAAUGUGAGCUGGUGCAGCCACUAUGGAGAACAGUGUGGAGGGGCCUCAGAAGACUACAGCAAAAGUUGUCUUUAUCAAACUCUCCAAAACGUUCAACUUAGUUCUUAUCGAAACACCUCUUCCUUUUUGUCCUUACACGUUUCACUUUAUGUCAUCAUUUAAUUUGGUAACAACUGAGGUGAGACGUUUUGAGCUCAAGCCCACGUUCCCCACGGAAGGUGCCUCUAGGGACCUGACCUCCACCUCCUUCCCGGUUCCUGAGUCGGCUGCUUUCACGAGCUCGGCGGCAGGGCUGCUGCGGGAGCAUCUGAGGAAAGGACCUCCGUUGCCGCGGGUCCCUCUGUCACGUCCCCACACGCGUGAGCAGAACCCUCUGUGAAUGUAGAAGAUGAGCACAGGGAUGCAACCAGAGGGAUGAUGGGUGGGCUCAGCGCAGGAGGCCGUGGAGCAAGCUGGGAAAAUCAUCUCUAGGCCGUGGAUGGACAGGGCACUGCAGGAAGGCUGCCCCUUGAACUGGGUCAUCAACUUGACCGAGCGAGAGAAAGCGUGGCCACCUGACCUGUGUACACGCGGCACUGCGGGCGUCCCCGAUCCUCCCACUGCUCCAGCCUCCGCUUGGCCCUACGUUCUGGGGUCACCUGACCUUCUGGAAGGCUCGACCACAGGCUCACGCACAGCCCGAACACCACCCUCCCUUUAGCUGUAACAUUUUCAGUUCUUGGAGGUGCCUAAGGAAGCUGAUGGGAAUACUAACAUUUACUCUCUUUGGGCUUCUGUCAUUCUGUCAGCAGAUGGUAGGAGGUGUGAACUUUGAAGGGAGACCAGGAUCCACGUGGUUUCCUUAAACCGGGCAGAGAGGAGAAGAACCUGACGUCAGUUUGCCGAGGCUGCCGUAAGGAAGCCGGCAGACUGGACGGCCUCAUUUCCUCCCAGCUCUGGAGGUUAGAAGUCUGAGGUCAAGGUGUUGGCAGGGUUGGUUUCCUCUGAAGCCCCUCUCCUUGGCUGGGACGUGGCCACCUUCUCGGCGUCACCUGGUCUUCCCUCUGUGGGCCCCUGUGUCCUCAUUCCCUCUUGGGUUUUUUUUUUUUUUGUUUCGUUUUUUGUUUUUUUGCUUUUCCUUUGUUUUGACCGCACCUGCAGCAUGUGGACGUUCCCAGGCCAGGGAUCGAACCCAUGCCACAGCAGAGACCUGAGCCACUGCAGUGACAACACUGGAUCCUUACUUCACCCUCUGAGCCACACAGGAACUCCCUGCUCUCUUCUCAGAAAGACAGCAGUCCUAGUGGAUUAGGACCUGAUGACCUCAUCUGAAAGACCGUCUCCAGAUACAGCCCCAUUCGGGGGACCGGGCAUUAGGGCCUCAGCCCGUGAAUGGGGUUGGGGCGCAAUUCACCCAGUGACACAUCCCGUGGGGCCGACGUGAAAGGACGCACCUGCUGGCAGAAGACACCUCCACGCCCUCCACGCGAGGAUGCUCGCUGGGGCGGAAAGGCGGCAGGGCACUUUCCAGCCCGGGUAGAACUGGACCCACGGACCCGCAGGGCAGGAGGCCGGCUGUGUGAACAAGGCUGGUUCCCCAGACACCACCCUCGGGCCCCCUCAGCUGUGAGACAGGGAUGGGCUGGCUUCCUGCCCGGCUCUGCCCACCGCACAGGGUGCCAGGGGAGCGUGGACCUGCUUCCUAAACUGUUACCACUGUAUGUGCAGGAUAUUCUUUACGUGUCAGGAUACUGACAACAAGCCGUGAACACGAAUAGAAAAGACUUGGAAACAGUUCAUACUGUGUGAUCGCACUGGCUGAGCUCGGUCUGGAAGUGACCGGAAGAGAGUCGGGGUGGAGGACAGAGGCGCCACCCCUGCCCGCCCCCUCUCCUCCCCCAGAGUGUGUCUCAGAGCAGCAGCUGCCCCCGGAUGGCACCGCCCCAUCUCCUGCCUGCGCCUCUGUCAUCAGCGGCCCCUCUUCUCUGGUCUUUCCCCUCAAGAUUCCAACCAUUGCAAGUUCUCUCUGGGUGAAAAAGCCCCAUCCCCACCCCCAUCCCCUCUGCCUCCUUCUCCAAACACAUGGGGACCCCUGCUGUGGCCAGCUCCUCAGCCCCCCAACAUCUGGCUUCUGUCCCCAAACGCAAGGCCCCUCCUCAGACCGCUUGGCCCUCUCCCUCGUGCGCUCCUCGCCCUGGGCUUUUGCACCUUGGCCUCCGUAGCCAGUUCCUGAGAUGGUAAAAGACCCUGAUUGCGCUGUCCGAGUGCCAACCUCCCACCCUGGGCCCUGAGCAUCUGCACCUCCUCUAUCAGACUCACAUUCCAGGCCGCUGUCCACGGGCACCGGGCACCGCGGGGCCAAGAAGCAGGCCGGGGAAACAGCCCCCGCGGCGACCCUCACCAGCCAGUCCUCAGCCUGCCCUGCCUUUCCCAAGAGACCCACGGGAAAAGCUCCUGCCCACGUUCGCCCCCUCCCUCUGCCCCGGGACCCCCCCUCCCCUGCUGCUCCCCUGCGUGGUCCCGCUGCCCCUCCUCUUGGGAACUGCAAGUGGCAAGCCAGCUUUUUGGGGGUUUUUUGGGGUUGUUUUUUUUUGGCCUUACCCGAAACACGUGGAAGUUCCUGGGCCAGGAUCAAAACCCACACCACAGCUGCAACAAUGCCAGAUCCCUAACCUGCUGCACCGCAAGGGAACUCCCAAACCAGCUUUUAAGGGCAGAGGAACCAGGGCGUCCCUGUCGUGAGGGAUGUGUGUGGCCAGUCCUGAGCCUGGCUGCCCUCAACCCCCGCACCUCCAGAGGGACUUCAUCUCUGUGCCUGUCCCGCGUGCUGUCCCUUGGCGAAGUGAGAAGGAAAACCGUAGUGAAAGCUGGGCAGUGGUUGACUUGCGGCCUGUGGUUAUGCCGAGGAAGAGGACUUCUCAGUGGGCACGUGCUUUCUGGAGAAAGCCAAGCGCCUGCAGGAGCAUUUGGGCACCUACGAACGACAUUUAUGAAACUCUCUGCUCUUCCUCCUGAAAAUGUCAAGUGACUAAAAUUCUUAGAAGUCGUCAUGAGACCUUCCACCCAAGGGUAGAAUCUCCCGGACGCCUCGCUGCUUGCCCACGCCCCAGGAUUGGGACUCGGGGACCUCGCUAUAGAGCCCCGACCUACAGGGCCCCCUGGGCCUGUGCCUUCCUCUGGACGAAGCUCCCACACGCAGGGGAGGGGACCCUCCCAGGGGGUCGCUCUGACAGUUCCACCUGAACAUGGGAGUAUUUCGACUGGGCCUGAAAAACAAACCGUGACCGUGGCUUUAUUUUUUACCCACCUAGCAUUUAAGGCAGACCCUUUACGCCUCCCUCCAAGUCUCACCUUGGCCGUGGGGCUCUGAUGUGGUUACAGGGGCUCAGAGCCGGGAGGGCUCAGGGGGUAGGGUGAGACUCAGAAGAGUGUCUGGAAAGAGGGGGUGCUCAGAAAGGGCGGGUGUGAUGAGUUGGACUUUCGUCACCCCCACACGCUAGGGUGACACCCUUACCCCCAAUACCUGUGUGCAUGGCCUUAAUGGGAGAGGGUCUUCGCAGGUGUGGUCAAGUUCAGGUGAGGUCACUAGGGUGGGCCUAAUCCAGGAUGACCAGGUCCUUAGGAAGAGAAGAAAAUGCCACCUGGAGAGUUCCCACUGUGGUGCAGUGAUAACAAACAAGACUAGUAUCCUGAGGACAUGGGUUCAAUCCCAGGCUCAGCUAAGUGGGUUAAGGAUCCAGUGUUGACAUGAGCUGUGAUGUAGGCCAGCAGCUGCAGCUGCAGUUCAGCCCCUAGCCAGGGAACCUCCAUAUGCUGCAGGUGCGGCCCAAAAAAAAAUAAAAAAAGAAAAA